CUCAGGAUGAACGCUAGCUACAGGCUUAACACAUGCAAGUCGAGGGGCAGCAUUUUAGUUUGCUUGCAAACUGAAGAUGGCGACCGGCGCACGGGUGAGUAACACGUAUCCAACCUGCCGAUAACUCCGGAAUAGCCUUUCGAAAGAAAGAUUAAUACCGGAUAGUAUACGAAUAUCGCAUGGUAUUUUUAUUAAAGAAUUUCGGUUAUCGAUGGGGAUGCGUUCCAUUAGUUUGUUGGCGGGGUAACGGCCCACCAAGACUACGAUGGAUAGGGGUUCUGAGAGGAAGGUCCCCCACAUUGGAACUGAGACACGGUCCAAACUCCUACGGGAGGCAGCAGUGAGGAAUAUUGGUCAAUGGGCGAGAGCCUGAACCAGCCAAGUAGCGUGAAGGAUGAAGGCUCUAUGGGUCGUAAACUUCUUUUAUAUGGGAAUAAAGUUUUCCACGUGUGGAAUUUUGUAUGUACCAUAUGAAUAAGGAUCGGCUAACUCCGUGCCAGCAGCCGCGGUAAUACGGAGGAUCCGAGCGUUAUCCGGAUUUAUUGGGUUUAAAGGGAGCGUAGGUGGAUUGUUAAGUCAGUUGUGAAAGUUUGCGGCUCAACCGUAAAAUUGCAGUUGAAACUGGCAGUCUUGAGUACAGUAGAGGUGGGCGGAAUUCGUGGUGUAGCGGUGAAAUGCUUAGAUAUCACGAAGAACUCCGAUUGCGAAGGCAGCUCACUAGACUGUCACUGACACUGAUGCUCGAAAGUGUGGGUAUCAAACAGGAUUAGAUACCCUGGUAGUCCACACAGUAAACGAUGAAUACUCGCUGUUUGCGAUAUACAGUAAGCGGCCAAGCGAAAGCAUUAAGUAUUCCACCUGGGGAGUACGCCGGCAACGGUGAAACUCAAAGGAAUUGACGGGGGCCCGCACAAGCGGAGGAACAUGUGGUUUAAUUCGAUGAUACGCGAGGAACCUUACCCGGGCUUAAAUUGCAACAGAAUAUAUUGGAAACAGUAUAGCCGUAAGGCUGUUGUGAAGGUGCUGCAUGGUUGUCGUCAGCUCGUGCCGUGAGGUGUCGGCUUAAGUGCCAUAACGAGCGCAACCCUUAUCUUUAGUUACUAACAGGUGAUGCUGAGGACUCUAGAGAGACUGCCGUCGUAAGAUGUGAGGAAGGCGGGGAUGACGUCAAAUCAGCACGGCCCUUACGUCCGGGGCUACACACGUGUUACAAUGGGGGGUACAGAAGGCGGCUACCUGGUGACAGGAUGCUAAUCCCAAAAACCUCUCUCAGUUCGGAUCGAAGUCUGCAACCCGACUUCGUGAAGCUGGAUUCGCUAGUAAUCGCGCAUCAGCCAUGGCGCGGUGAAUACGUUCCCGGGCCUUGUACACACCGCCCGUCAAGCCAUGAAAGCCGGGGGUACCUGAAGUACGUAACCGCAAGGAGCGUCCUAGGGU
rnacentral:rRNA from 1 species